GAUGAACGCUGGCGGCGUGCCUAAUACAUGCAAGUCGAGCGGAAAGGCCUCUUCGGAGGUACUCGAGCGGCGGACGGCUGAGUAACACGUAGGAAUGUACCCCAAAGUGAGGGAUAACUGCUCGAAAGAGUAGCUAAUACCGUAUGUGAUCCACGGAUUAAAGCUUUAUGCGCUUUGGGAACAGCCUGCGUAUGAUUAGUUAGUUGGUGAGGUAAUGGCUCACCAAGACGAUGAUCAUUAGCUGGUCUGAGAGGAUGAUCAGCCAGACUGGGACUGAGACACGGCCCAGACUCCUACGGGAGGCAGCAGUAGGGAAUCUUCCGCAAUGGGCGAAAGCCUGACGGAGCAACGCCGCGUGAGUGAUGAAGGUUUUCGGAUCGUAAAGCUCUGUUGCCAGGGAAGAACGUUUUCUAGAGUAACUGCUAGGAAAGUGACGGUACCUGAGAAGAAAGCCCCGGCUAACUACGUGCCAGCCGCCGCCGUAA
rnacentral:rRNA from 1 species